CAGUGCCAACACGCCAGGCUCCACGCUCCAUGAGGACAGAAGCUCCUUUGUUUGGGACCUCACUCGUUAAGAAAACUGAGACACAAGCCUCAUCCUUGUCCCUACCUGAGCAGAUGUUGCUUCUACCGUUAUUCAGAACAUCAAGG